rnacentral:misc_RNA from 1 species
GGUCGUGCAAGUUAUGCGACUGUAUCUAAAAUACAUUGUUUGUUUCACCAAUACGGCUCACACAACAACAGAGCAGUUCUUUGGUUUCAAUUGUGAAACUGACUACUUUCCGGGUGUGUGUCAUAACGCCAGGUAUUAUACCCAUCCGCAGUCUCAGCUCGCGGUCUGACACCAAGCACUAUACAAUCAGCUAUAAAUGUGCCAUGUAUUCAAGCACUAUACAUUUCCAGUACAUACAGCAUGAUGUUGUUAUCGUCUCGGGUGAUGCUUUGUGCGUUAAUGGCUCAGUGGGGAGGAUGCUGUAUUCAACUCGACAUCCAUCCGAAAACAAUUCAUCUUGAUUCAUCACGCCACGUGACCAUACGGUGUAGCCUCGAUCUGACACGCUCGAGAACGCAGAAGGUCUACUCUAUCAUGCUUAAAAAAGGAGGAUCUACCGUAGCUGUCUUAUUCCAAGAUAGAAUACACCAUAAUAUGACGAAUCGACACUAUGACGUCACCGGGUCCGUGACAACAAACUCUUCGUCAGUUGCUUUCUUCCAAAUAGUGCUGGAUAAUGUCACGUGUCUUGACAGGGGAGAUUACUCUUGCAUCAUGGCAGUAAAACGUUUGGGUAAAGCUACGAGUAUGGAACCGGUUACAUCUCGUCUGGAAAUCCAAGGUAAACCCAGUGAUAUUUCCGUCAGCCUUACACCGGACACAUCGACCUACACCGAAGGGGAAGUGGCCCGUCAGUGACUACAGCAAGUACUGUCCCGCCGACACACACGACUGCCUCCUCAAGGGACACACCACUCCGCCAGAAAGAGACGGAAGAAGGGUGCUGACAACAUAUGUUCUUGUGUCAGCGUUUGCUGUUGUUCUGAUAGUCACACUGAUCUGUCUCUU